rnacentral:lncRNA from 1 species
GUUGAGGGUCUCCAGGCCUGGAGUUGGCUGGCAGGAGUUGAGCAGGAAGCAGGUGGGCACGCAGGGCUGAGGAAUGUGGCAGGGUGGGGGACAGUUGUCACAGCAGCAGGGCUGAGUGAAGGUGGUGAGGUUGAGGGUCUCCAGGCCCGGAGUUGGCUGGCAGGAGUUGAGCAGGAAGCAGGUGCUGGGCAGGCAGACUCCACAGCGGCAGGAUUUGUCGGAGGAGCAGAUGGUGGUGGCAGGCCCAGUGGGGAC